ensembl:lncRNA novel transcript
GCUCAGCUCAUCAUGAAGAAUGUCCAUGUGACUUUGGUUAAUAAAAUGUGAGGAAUCCAAAGUUCAAGAAAAGUUCAAAUAACCCACUCACAGUUGCACAGCUAGAGGGAGAGCUGGGAUAGAUCUAUAAAGCUGCAACUCCUGUGCACACAGAAAUAUGAAGCCACUUUCACCCUCUGGAAUCCUUCAGCUGGGCCUGGUGGCUCACACCUGUGAUCCCAGCACUUUGGGAGGCUGAGGCGGGCAGAUCACUUGAGUACCUGCUACAUAUCUCCAUGAUUGAGUCUGCUUACUGAGAGAAUAAAAGACAAGUUUCCAGAAUUUUGAGAAGAAGAGGAAGAAGAGCAGGAGGAGAGAGAGGAAGAAGACAACAAGAACAAGAGCAAGAACAAAGCAGCUUAUGUAAAAUACUGACAGCUUACUGCAAUUUUACAGCAUUCCUCACAAGGUGGUUCAGAAUAGAUCCAGUGGACUGUAGUCUGUUUAACUGAGACCUCACACAUAAUGUCAUGGUUGACAGUUACUGGUUGAAGGAAAUCCAUGUUGGGCUUCUGUGGAUGCUGGAUUCUUUCCUUCUGAGAAGAAAUAUAACACACUGACUUUGAGGUGAUGGUGGAGAAAAAGUACAAGCAGAAGACUUUUCCCAACUUCUCCAUAGCUAAUUAAAAACUACGAAUUGCCUUGUUUGCUUAAACUGGCUGCCAUGAAAUGUUGAAAAUGCCUUAAAAGAAACAGCGAUACUAAAGAGGAUCUUUUUAAAAUUCCUGCUUUGUGUGGUUCAAGAUGGAUGUCUGGACUCAUGCAUUUACAAUCCCUUCAUCCAAAUUCUUACUGAAACAAUAUUAAAGAUAGACAAAAAAGAAUAGAAGGGAGAAUCCAUUAAUAUACCAGUGAAUUUGAUGACUUUCUGGAAAAGAGAGAGUGAUUAAGAUUUAAUUUACAGAUCCCACAGAUAAGUGAGAACAUGUGAUGUUUGUCUCUCUGUGCCUGGCUUAUUUCACUUAACAUAAUAAUCUCCAGUUCUAUCCAUGUUGUUGCAAAUGAUUGGAUCUCAUUCUUUUUAUGGCUGAAUAGUACUCCAUUGCAUGGCUAGCUUUGACAGUAAGAAGUUACACAUUCUGCUGGGAGCCAGCCUCAACUUAGGGGAUCACAAAGGAAGCAAGAAGCAGCUGGGAAGAAGUACAGAGCCUGUGACACAACUAGAAAAUAGGCACAAUGGCAGUCUGCUCUACACGUACCCUGCAAAACACACCUGUGUUUUAUGCUGCCUUUCUUCUUCCAACAGGAUAAAUUGGUUUUUCUCAGCAAGGAUAACGUUGGGGUUAACCACUUGAAGCUUCAGAGACUGCAGUG